GGGGGAUAUUGCACAAUGGGGGAAACCCUGAUGCAGCGACGCCGCGUGGAGGAAGAAGGUUUUCGGAUUGUAAACUCCUGUCGUUAGGGACGAUAAUGACGGUACCUAACAAGAAAGCACCGGCUAACUACGUGCCAGCAGCCGCGGUAAAACGUAGGGUGCAAGCGUUGUCCGGAAUUACUGGGUGUAAAGGGAGCGCAGGCGGACCGGCAAGUUGGAAGUGAAAACUAUGGGCUCAACCCAUAAAUUGCUUUCAAAACUGCUGGCCUUGAGUAGUGCAGAGGUAGGUGGAAUUCCCGGUGUAGCGGUGGAAUGCGUAGAUAUCGGGAGGAACACCAGUGGCGAAGGCGACCUACUGGGCACCAACUGACGCUGAGGCUCGAAAGCAUGGGUAGCAAACAGGAUUAGAUACCCUGGUAGUCCAUGCCGUAAACGAUGAUUACUAGGUGUUGGAGGAUUGACCCCUUCAGUGCCGCAGUUAACACAAUAAGUAAUCCACCUGGGGAGUACGACCGCAAGGUUGAAACUCAAAGGAAUUGACGGGGGCCCGCACAAGCAGUGGAGUAUGUGGUUUAAUUCGACGCAACGCGAAGAACCUUACCAAGUCUUGACAUCCCUUGACAGGCAUAGAAAUAUGUUUUCUCUUCGGAGCAAGGAGACAGGUGGUGCAUGGUUGUCGUCAGCUCGUGUCGUGAGAUGUUGGGUUAAGUCCCGCAACGAGCGCAACCCUUAUGGUCAGUUACUACGUAAGAGGACUCUGGCCAGACUGCCGUUGACAAAACGGAGGAAGGUGGGGAUGACGUCAAAUCAUCAUGCCCUUUAUGACUUGGGCUACACACGUACUACAAUGGCGUUAAACAAAGAGAAGCAAGACCGCGAGGUGGAGCAAAACUCAGAAACAACGUCCCAGUUCGGACUGCAGGCUGCAACUCGCCUGCACGAAGUCGGAAUUGCUAGUAAUCGUGGAUCAGCAUGCCACGGUGAAUACGUUCCCG
rnacentral:rRNA from 1 species